GCAGUUCUCUGUGUUCUGUCUCCUUGCAGUUUCUGGAGAAUCCUUUGUCUAUAGUCCAGAUCUCCUUUCAUGGCUAUCUAACGGAUCUGUCUUCUGCAGCAUUUCCAUCCAGGUGUUGGCAUCCUUUCACAGUAAGCAGUAGGAGAGGCUUGCUGCCAAGGCUCAUAUAUGUCACAAACAAGACUACCUGAUCUUCAUUGAGAGUCACUCUGAUGAGGACAUUACAUGUUACCAUAUCUAAUCAGUAGCCACUUGAGCUAUCGGCAGGACCCUCAUCCCCCGUUACUUUAGCACUGUGUUUGAAGGAGGGGUGACCGACCUGUAUUACAUUCUCAAACACUCGAAAGAGUCAUACCACAACUCAUCCAUCACGGUGGACUGCGACCAGUGUACCAUGGUCACCCAGCACGGGAAGCCCAUGUUUACCAAGGUAUGUACAGAAGGCAGACUGAUCUUGGAGUUCACCUUUGAUGAUCUCAUGAGAAUAAAAACAUGGCACUUUACCAUUAGACAAUACCGAGAGUUAGUCCCGAGAAGCAUCCUAGCCAUGCAUGCACAAGAUCCUCAGGUCCUGGAUCAGCUG
rnacentral:sRNA from 1 species